CCUCCGUAGGGGUGAACCUGCGGAGGGAUCAUU
rnacentral:rRNA from 1 species